UCAUUAUCAGGUUUCAAGCUGGAGAGAUUUUAUGAAGGGUGGAAAGAAGGUAAGUUUAUUAUAUUUUUGUUAAAUAAGUUGGUUUCUAUUUUUUACAUUUUUGUUUUGUUUUUAACCCUUGAAAAUUUUAAUCAUAAACACAUUUCAUUAAAUACUCUCUAGCUUCUGAACUCUGGUUUUUCAGUUUUUUACCCUUGAAUACUCUUUGGCAAGCUCAAAGCCUUUUGUCUGUUGGAUGAUAUUUUAGUUACCGAUAAUGUGUAUUUUGCUUGCAGGGUGGUCAGAUUACGUAGAAUGCGUGAAGUGAAUCAAGAAGUUGUCCUCCUAUCUUUAUGGUUAAAGACAUUAACUUCUAAAGUUAUUGUAUUUAGGAAUUGUAGACGAAAAUUUCAUGAGCUAGCUCAACCUUAUUUUUUGCACUUUUUAACUGGAAGGGUGCAUCUAAUUCUUUUACUCUUAAAAGCAACUGCCUUCUGGAUCGACUGAGUCUAAUUAAUUUAUUACUUUUUCUAUAAACUAGUCAGAUUUAUUUUCAUUCUUUUUGGUUGAGAACCAAACAGGCUGCUCAUAGGCUAAAGAUUUUAUUUGGAUUAGCUGGUUUUGAAGGUACUGAACUUCAUGGAAAUCUUACCCAAGUUCAACUUCUUGAUAUGUGGCUGCUCGGGUGCGAACUCUCUUUGAUUUUGUUUCUUGUCUUGUAGAUACAAUAUAGUUGAGAAAAAAUCAGGAUUGGAUGGAAAAAACUAUCGUGCUUGCUUUGGCCACUGGACAAAAGAGAUUUAGUGUAACUUUAUGCAAGUUUGUUGAGAAAUAUGCUGAAAUAUUGGCAAGUCAAGGACAGCUAACAAUGGCACUAGAAUAUGUUAAGUUAUUGGGAUUUGAAGAAUUGACGCAUGAACUUGUGAUCUUAAGAGAUCGAAUUUCCCUCUCUACAG